UUUCCGUAGGUGAACCUGCGGAAGGAUCAUUAAUAGUGCCCUCUGAUGCAAAUCAUUGGGUUAGAUCUGCUCUCUUCGCAAGAAGAGGGUUUCCAUACACACCGUGAACUGUGGCUUCGGCCAUCACAAACUGUUAGUAAUGAAUGUAAUAUCAUAACAAAAACAAAACUUUUAACAACGGAUCUCUUGGCUCUC
rnacentral:misc_RNA from 1 species